GAGUUUGAUCAUGGCUCAGAUUGAACGCUGGCGGCAGGCCUAACACAUGCAAGUCGAGCGGAUGACGGGAGCUUGCUCCUUGAUUCAGCGGCGGACGGGUGAGUAAUGCCUGGGAAUCUGCCUGGUAGUGGGGGACAACGUUUCGAAAGGAACGCUAAUACCGCAUACGUCCUACGGGAGAAAGCAGGGGACCUUCGGGCCUUGCGCUAUCAGAUGAGCCUAGGUCGGAUUAGCUAGUUGGUGGGGUAAUGGCUCACCAAGGCGACGAUCCGUAACUGGUCUGAGAGGAUGAUCAGUCACACUGGAACUGAGACACGGUCCAGACUCCUACGGGAGGCAGCAGUGGGGAAUAUUGGACAAUGGGCGAAAGCCUGAUCCAGCCAUGCCGCGUGUGUGAAGAAGGUCUUCGGAUUGUAAAGCACUUUAAGUUGGAGGAAGGGCAGUAAGUUAAUACCUUGCUGUUUUGACGUUACCGACAGAAUAAGCACCGGCUAACUCUGUGCCAGCA
rnacentral:rRNA from 1 species